AAGGUUGUAUACCAACUGAACUUUUACACGAAGAGGAGAGCCUGAUAAUGAGAGAUUCAGGGGAUUGAACAGGACUAUAAAUCGAUGAGUCCAAAUAAACAGGGGCUGGGUUUGAACAUGCACAGGUAUGGUGCCACGUACGGGGAUUCAGCACAAGAUAGUUCAAACUACAACCACAUCAAAGUGCUCUUUCUUUCUUCUGGUCGUUGCUAGCUCCUGAUGAAACUGAUACUUUCCAUUCCUUGAUGGCACGGUUUUGAAAUUUUCCAUCCUCAUGUCAUGUUGACACCACAUGUUGGAAUAGAGAUAUUACGAGAUCAGGCAAAUCUAAAAAUGCUAUUUAGUAGGUGGUUCCUUGCAAGAAUUUCAGUAUUUUUCACUAGGCGCAUUGUGAAGUUAUCAUUUCUCAGCUGUCCCAGGAAAUGAGAAAAGUGGGGUAGCUUUCCUCAUCAAUAUCAAGAAAUGAAUAGACAAUAUUUUCCGGUCUAGUAAAUAAUUAGAGGCAACUUGGGAUGGCACCGGCUGGGGGCUCUUCACUCGGAAGGAGGGUCAGCAAAGUUUGAGCUGAAAAGGCGGGUUUGAGGAGCGUGUGUGUGUGUGGACUUUUACUGCAGGGCAUGUAGACUGUUUGCCAGCUCAAUAUAAGUUGUGAAAUGACCUCGGCUGAUUGUUGUUUCAGAAAUCUCUUCCUAGUUGGGAAAGGAAGAUGGCGACUGUUGGAGUUGCUGGGACACUUUGGGGGAUCCAGAAGGCCAAAAAAUAUGGCAUGUUUCGAGCUGCGAUCCCAGCUCACUUGCCUCUCAUGUUUGCUACGUGCUGGAUUGGCAACCGCUGGAGCUUGGUACAAGCGAGGCGACGGAGGGAAAAAGGGAGGCACCGCAACAGGGCUUAAUUUUGCUUGCAGAAUGAACAAUUUUGCUUCCAGAAUUGCAGAAUAGGCUUAAUUGCAGAUUCUGGAAGCAUGGCAAUUCAGGUUACUUUGAAUCUCGGAAUCAUCCUCCCUGACUUACACCCAAGUGAACAAGCUAUCUAUAGUAAGUGAAAGUUUGUUUCUGAAUCUAUCAGGCCUUAAUAAUUGUUCAAGUCUGAUUUUUAUGUUCUCUUGUAAAUUCUAAUGGCAGCUGCAAUUUUUGACAAGCAAAUUUCAUCAGUACUGCUGUACUGGU
rnacentral:lncRNA from 1 species